CUUACAUAUCAAUAUGUUGAGUGAGCGCUGCACCAAAAAGCACAUAUAAUUAGUACAAUACUAGAAGCUUUGGCUAAAAAGAAGGUUAACCUCUACUAUCGACCAGCUCUGCUGCACCAGAGAAUUACAAACAUGGACAUGAUGAAAUAAGGAACCAUAUAGGCGUAUUACAAGCAUGAGUGUGAAGCAAACAUAUCUUAGUUGUGGGCUCUAACCACUGAAAGGAACAUGAUAAGAGUAUCUGAAAGAGAUUAAAUACUUGAAGCAUCUAUUUUUUGAAUCUUGACAUUUUAAUUCUCAGCACAACCUCCAAACCUGUUGUUGCAACAUAAGAUUUGUCUAUGAUCUUAGCUGUAACAAUUCUCUAUUCUGACACAAAAUCUGCAGCAAAACAGCAACAAUUAGUUGUGAGUAAGAUGAGAGAGACAUGUGAUCUGCCAAGGGCAUAUGGGGUGAGAGAAGUACUAACGGAGUGGUAGGGAGAUGAACUUCAGGCAGAUGGUUUCUAGGAGAUCUGCCGUAGGUGUGGAUUCCUGAAGAAAAACAAAUGGUCCAUAACAAUUCAUGUGCAGCUGUGCAGUGAUUCAGUACUAGGAGAUUAACUACCUAUAGAUGAAUCCACCAUGAAGCUAGGAUUUGGUAGAGGAGAGAUGGGGCAGCAAGGUAGAUGGAAGCAGGAAGGACAUUAGUGGAAAAUAUAUCAAGUUAGUGGAACCAUAGUGUUACACCAUGUUGUUCUACAAUAUAAACAGCAACGAACUAUCCAAAGGUUGAGUAAAAAUGGUCCAAUGUUCAAUAUAAAAAUCCAAAGAAGCUAUUGCACCGAAAGUAAAAUUUUUAAGAUAGAAUACUAAGCAUAAACUGCAGGGUUAAGGUAGCAUUAUUUUUGGACACUACAUCUUAUGGAUACUGCAAAUUACUUCCAAAAAGUAUCUCUGAUCUAGAUUGAUACGCAGAGAAAGAGAAAAAUAUACCAACCACCUACAUAAGCUGGGACAGAACAAACUCGUCCAUAUCAUGAAGUCUAGUAACUGCAAUCAUCCAAAGCAAAGUAAGAAACAGAAGUACCAUAAACACAUGUAAGAUGGUUAUCAGCCACUUGUCUAGCAAUGCAAGCUUACUAUCAGGGGCGCCAUCACAGACAAUCAAGUCCGCUUUACAUCCAUCAAAAUGCUUGAUACCGACGCCAAAGCUGCAUCGUUUUCCUUCCGAAGCAGAUCAUGGUCCGAGACAUCAUCCGCAACCACAAAGUCUCCAUGAGCUUUGGAAACGUUGGCUAGUUCAUGAUCCAGCCCAUUGUUUGUCCUUCCGAUAGCCCUCAUGUGAUAUUUACUCAACGCAGAUUUAAUAUCAACAAUAAUUGGGUAGGACAAUGUUCUGCUUACGAAUCAGCCCCUAGCUCCUUGCCCCACUGCAUAGUCGAUCUCCACCACAAGGGAGCCUCAGAAUACGUUAUUCAGUCAAACCAGAAUGGCGCUGGCUUCAGCCUCCUCGACAAUUAUGCAUGUGCCCAGCUGCCUAUCGGCAAGCAAUUUUUGCAUUAUCUCUGGUAAGCAACAAAAAGGAAUCCAUAUGCAAUCUGAAUCUUCACUGAACUUUUUAGGUUUGGCCAUAUAGGAGCUCGAUCACGCAAAAUUCGACAGCUCAAACUUUUACCCUUACCUGUCCACAUCAUCCAUGGCAUAUCCUUCACAUACUUGGCUUCACAUGGAGACGGUUCACCACCUUCAUCUCACACAACGUGUCACACAACAUAUCCAUGAACCAAUCUAGUUAAUGUUCGACGACUGAGAAAAAAUUCAAAGUAAAUUGAUGGAUGCAUGAAUAAAUGGAUUGAUGCAUUGCAACGGGAGAAAAAAAUUCACACACACACCACCAAGCUCUAGGACCUUUGCCUCCGACAUGGCAAUCAAGCAUACUCGGCGCCCAUGGCAAUGGGUCCCACGAUGAUCUUGCCCCCCUGCGGCCCAACCGGCGACAUCGUCGGCAAGUCAAGGCAGCGGUGGAGCAGGCGCGACACAUCUGCCAUGAGCUGCUUGGUCGCCUUUCCUGAAAUUCAACACAACAACAAAGGGAACUUGGCUAGAGAUUGCAAUUGAACACUUAGCUGCAGCAGAGAUGACUAAAACUUUCAAGAAUACAAAUUUGCAUGUGCAUUAUAGUGGGAAAUACAACGCAUAUAAUGGCGAAAAUGGGCAAGGAAAAAGAAUAGGAAAUGAUUAAAUUUGUUUUUAUUCCUAACAACAUCCUUUUGCCCUGCAUCACGUAUUGUAAUGAUGUCACAAGCAUGCUCUUGACGACAAUGAUUCACAUGUGCUGGAGACCUGCAGAGGAUGGGGAAAAGAAGGGCAAAAUAGGAAGGCUUGUAUCUAUCAAGCAUAAAUAUUUACUGAAUAAAAUUGAGCUAAUCUAUACCAACUUGGGCAGGAUUGUCGAAUAGCUUCCUCUUAUAUAACAUAUACAUCAGAAAAUCCAGUACACAAAAUAUAUACAUAUGUUUAGCAAUGACACAGAAAUCAGAUUGUUUCAAAGAUAGUGAGGAUCGACAGAGGGUCUUGAAGAAUUCUGACAAUGUAAACCGUAAUAGGUUACAACCUCCAUCACACAUCUAAUUUUAUCAAAUUGACACGGAAAGUUAUAGGAAUUGUGGCAUAAAAAUUGGUUACAUCUAAAUCUUGGUAUAUUCCUGUUUGAGAUCGUUUAUAGAAUCAAUAAAAUGUAAUGACAUUAGGGAGAUCAAGGAUCAAAGAUCAAUUAAGAAAAUCAUGGAUGGGGGAAUCAUACUUACCUUGUUAAGAAUGACACCGAUGGAAUUAGUGAGGUGCCCGUCCGGAACAACCGGGACACAAUCGCAGUAGUUCUCCCAGCGCUACCUUAGUCGAUAUAGCGGAACGUAAGGUACCAAAGCAUGGGAGCCAGGCAAACCCAACUAUUGACCCAAGAUAUGAUUCGGAGCUGAUGCAUAUAAUGCUAUAAGUUCGGGGUGCCGCAUUGUCGAAAGUGUUCGGACUUCUCACACCGUAUUAUGGGGUAAACAAAAGCCCCUGGGGUAUUGACCGUACCAGAAUGCACGGGAGCAAGUUGUCCUAAAUGAACAUAUAAGAAAAAGGGAUAAAGAAUGCAAUAAUAGACUAAUGCUAUGCAUUGUUAUUUAAAUAAUACGUCAAAGCAUACUGAUACAAGUAGUGCAAUAAGCAGAAAAAUGGACUAUUUGACAUGUCCUAUCCAAGGGCAAGCUGCGUAUGGAUAGUAGAAAGCGGGUAUAUCGAUUAUUAUUAGAGACCACAUGGGGGUUCCCGUGUACAUCUUAGCUUCUUGCCUCCUUGGAUGUUCCUUCCCGUAAUGUGUCCGGCAAUCGUACUGCCGGAAAGGGCUUCCAGAAAGUUAGGUCCUGAAAGAGAAAAAAUGAUAAAGGUAUAUAGCCCCUAGGGCGUUUAAGCCGCAUUGUGGGACGUGCCCUGAUCGUGCCCCCGCCUAUGCCCAUCGUAUUUUCAGUGCGUAAUUAUGUACGCGCGACACAGAUUUCUUCGCUUGACCCGGACUGGGACGGGGGCCGAAUUGCUAGGCGAGCUCUGAACGUGCCAGGCGAUCCUGUUGUAGUUUACUCCGGACUCGCUUGAUGGUGUCUGGGGGUUGUAUUGCCAAAUUGGUGAUUUGCCUUAAAAGGCUGCUUUGUGCUUCUACUCUGAGGACCGCAGUGUGCUCUUCCAUGCGGAGCGAGCGUUCUGUGUUUCCAUUGACUGUUAUGACCCCCCUAGGUCCUAGCAUCUUUAGCUUGAGGUAUGUGUAAUGCGGUACCGCGUUGAAUUUUACAAAUGUGGUUCGCCCGAGCAGUGCGUGAUAGCCGCUGCGGAACGGGACGAUAUCAAAGAUUAACUCCUCGCUUCGGAAGUUGUCCGGAGAUCCGAAGACCACUUCUAGUGUGACUGAGCCUGUGCAAUGGGCCUCUACACCUGGGAUGACGCCCUUCAAGGUGGUUUUGGUGGGUUUGAUCCUCGAGGGAUCUAUACCCAUUUUGUGCACUCUAUCCUGAUAGAGCAGGUUCAGGCUGCUGCCGCCGUCCCUAAGGACUCGAGUGAGGUGGAAUCCGUCGAUGAUGGGGUCUAGGACCAGUGCGGUAGAUCCGCCAUGACGGUUACUAGUGGGGUGGUCCCUGCUAUCAAAGGUGAUUGGAUAAGCGGACCAUGGGUUGAACUUUGGGGCGACGGGCUCCAUCGCAUAGAUGUCCCUUAGUGCACGCUUCCGUUCCCUCUUGGGAAUGUGUGUUGCGUAUAUCAUGAUCACCAUCUUCACUUGUGGGGGAACCUCUUCUGUCCUCCCGUGUUCGGCGGCCGGGGCUCCUCCUCGUCAUCGCUAUGCAGCCCCUUGUCCUUGUUUUCAGCAUUUAACUUGCCGGCCUGCUUGAACACCCAGCAUUCUCUGUUGGUGUGAUUGGCUGGCUUAUCGGGGGUGCCGUGGAUUUGACAUGAGCGAUCCAGUAUGCGAUCCAAACUCGAUGGGCCUGGAGUACUUCUUUUGAAUGGCUUUUUCUACUAACCGGAUCUAGAGCCUCUAAAUCCGGCAUUGACUGCCAUAUCAUCGGUGUUAUCGCCGUUGUUGUGGCGCUUUUGUCUGUUACGACGUGGUUUGCCGUUGGCAUCUUUGGUAUCUGGAGUACCCGGAUUCCUUGAUGUGUUGUUGCUGCAAGCCAGCCAGCUAUCCUCUCCCACGCAAAAGCGGGUCAUGCGUGUCGUGAGGGCUGGCAUAGACUUCGGCUUCUCCUGGCCGAGGUGCUGGGCGAGCCACUCCUCUAGCAUGUUAUGCUUGAAUGCCGCUAAGGCUUCUUCAUCUGGACAGUCGACAAUUUGGUUUUUAUUAGUUAGGAACCGUGUCCAGAAUUGCCUAGCCGAUUCCCCUGGCUGUUGAGUUGUAUGGCACAAGUCAUCAGCGUCCGGUGGUCGCACAUAAGUGCCCUGGAAGUUGUCAAGGAAUGCGUCUUCCAAAUCCUCCCAACUGCCGUUGAAGUCUGCUGGCAAGCUAUUCAGCCAAUGCUUAGCGGGUCCUUUGAUUUUCAGUGGGAGGUACUUGAUGGCAUGUAGAUCAUCACCGCGAGCCAUGUGGAUGUGAAGGAGGAAAUCCUCAAUCCAUAUAGCAGGAUCUGUUGUACCAUCAUACGAUUCAAUGUUUACGGGUUUAAAACCCUCAGGGAAUUCGUGAUCCAUAACUUCAUCAGUGAAGCAUAGGGGGUGUGCGGCGCCUCUGUAACGGGCUAUAUCCCGACGCAGUUCAUAUGAGUCUUGUCUGCUAUAUUCGGCCUGGCCGGAUUUACUUUUAGUUUAUCCGGCGCGACGGUCAUCGUCCCGCAUUGGCGCGCGCCCCCUGCUAUCCAAUACAUCUCGCAGGUCUCGUGUGUUGCCCCGGGCCUUGGUAUUUUUGAUUGAGUGGCGGCGGGGGCAGGCUGAACUUCAGGCUGAAACGCCUCUCUGGCUCGGCCACGCGGUGGCCGAUCAGCCGCAUCGUACAAUGGUGAUGGAGGUUUCAAUGCCUCCUCCUUGAGGUGAGGCAGCAACCUGCGUUUUGGGUAAUUCUUGGAGGGGCGCUCGAGUUCGUAUUCCUCGGCCGCAAGGACUUCGGUCCAUCUAUCUGCUAGCAAGUCUUGAUUAGCUUGAAGCUAUUAUUGCUUUUUCUUUAGGCUAUUUGGUGUGUCCAUAAGCCGGCCCUUGAAGAGCUCCUGCUCGACAGGAUCCUCAGUUACGAUAAAUUCUUCGUUGCCGAGGCUCAGCUCAUCUUCGGAGAGAGGCAUGUAAUUGUCCUCCUCUGAUUUUUCACCUGCUGCCUGCUCUGGAGGGCUAGCUUGUUCACCCUCCCACUCUACAUCGUGCUGGAGGGGAUUGUGGUUGUCUUCGGCACUAUCCGGAGUGUUACUGUCUCUUGUGCCGGUAUCACUACUUUUGCUGUGGCGGGAAUAAGAGCGGCGCUGCUGACGUUGGCGCUUGGAUUGCUUCUUGGAGGGGUCAUCCUCUGCUGUCUCGUCGUCAUUGCCUUAUUUGGGGUUAUCCACCAUGUAUAUAUCAUAUGAUGAGGUGGCGGUCCAGCGCCCUGUGGGCAGUGGUUCUUGUUCGUCUCCUGCAUCAUCGUCCAUAUCGUCGAUGUCUUCGGAGUCGAAGUCGAGCAUGUCGGUUAAAUCGUCGACAGUGGCUACUAAGUGGGUGGUGGGUGGGCAGCGAAUUUCUUCGUCGUCCCCGUCCCAUUCUAGCCGGACAUAGUUCGACCAAGAUUCUCCUGACAAGGAGAGAGACCUUAAUGAAUUUAGCACAUCGCCGAAAGGCGAGUGCUGAAAGAUAUCCGCGGAGGUGAACUCCCUGAUCGGUGCCUAGUCGGAUUCGAUAAGAACGGAUGCAGGUGGCUCGGAGUCCGUGGCCGGAGAUGAAUCCAGUGGUUUGGCGACACGGCUCUCGUAAGGGGUGAAAUCAUUAUCCGGCUCCAUCGCCAUUGGGAGUGCCGCCUCCGUGGCGGGGUCUAUCCCUCCGUCCUCGGAUGGCGCAUUUUUUCUCCGGAUUGAAGGCCGGAGUGGCUGCAGAUGCGACCUCCCGAGCAUUGUCCAAUGGCAGAGUUACGUCAUGCUCGUCGUGAUCAUGCGGCGCACCUGACAUGGGCUCAAAUCCGUCGAAGAUCAAGUCUUCGCGGGUAUCGGCGGUGUAGUUUAAGUUUCCGAACCUAACCUUAUGGCCAAGUGAAUUGGCCCGCAGUGCGAAGCCGCCAAAUACGAAGAUCUGUCCGGGGAGGAAAACCUCACCCUGGACCACAUCGUUACUGAUGAUCGAAGGGGUCAUCGAGCCUUAUGGUGACGACACAGUGGAACUCUCAAUGAAAUCACCAAUGUCGGUGUCAAAACCGGCGGAUCUCGGGUAGGGGGUCCCGAACUGUGCGUCUAAGGCGGAUGGUAUCAGGAGGCAAGGGACACGAUGUUUACCCAGGUUCGGGCCCUCUUGAUGGAGGUAAUACCCUACGUCCUGCUUGAUUGUUCUUGAUGAUAUGAGUAUUACAAGAGUUGAUCUACCACGAGAUCAUAGAGGCUAAACCCUAGAAGCUAGCCUAUGGUAUGAUUGUAUGUUGCCCUACGGACUAAACCCUCCAGGUUAUAUAAACACCGGAGGGGCCUAGGGUUACACAGAGACAUUUACAAGGGAGGAGAUCUACAUAUCCAUAUUGCAAACCUUGCCUUCCACGUCAAGGAAAGUCCCAUCCGGACAUGGGACGAAGUCUUCAAUCUUGUAUCUUCAUAGUUCAACAGUCCGGCCAAAGGAUAUAGCCCGGCUAUCCGGAGACCCCCUAAUCCAGGACUCCCUCAGGGGGCGCCACCCCCUCCUUGUCCAAUUCAGACUAGAGGGGGAGGGGACAUGCGGCUGCCCUGGCCGCCCCUCCUCUUCUCCCACUAAGGCCCAUGAGGCCCAAUUACUCCGGUUUAUAUCCAAAACCACUCGGAACACUUCUGGUGUCCGAAUAUAGUCAUCCAAUAUAUCGAUCUUUAUGUCUCGACCAUUUCGAGACUCCUCGUCAUGUCCGUGAUCAUAUCCGCGACUCCAAACUACCUUCAGUAAAAAAAACACAAAAACUCAUAAUAUCGAUCGUCACCAAACUUUAAGGGUGCGGACCUUACGGGUUCGAGAACUAUGUAGACAUGACCGAGAUAUGUCUCCGGUCAAUAACCAAUAGCGGAACGUGGAUGCUCAUAUUGGCUCCUACAUAUUGUACGAGGAUCUUUAUUGGUCAAACCGCAUAACAACAUACGUUGUUCCCUUUGUCAUCGGUAUGUUACUUGCCCGAGAUUCGAUCGUCGGUAUCUCAAUACCUAGUUCAAUAUCGUUAUUGGCAAGUCUCUUUACUCGUUCCGUAAUGCAUCAUCUCGUAACUAACUCAUUAGUCACAUUGCUUGCAAGGCUUAUAGUGAUGUGCAUUACCGGGAGGGCCCAGAGAUACCUCUCCGACAAUCGGAGUGACAAAUCCUAAUCUCGAAAUACGCCAACUCAACAAGUACCUUCGGAGACACCUAUAGAGCACCUUUAUAAUCACCCAGUUACGUUGUGAUGUUUGGUAGCACACAAAGUGUUCCUUCGGUAAAUGGGAGUUGCAUAAUCUCAUAGUCAUUAGAACAUGUAUAAGUCAUGAAGAAAGCAAUAGCAACAUACUAAACGAUCAAGUGCUAAGCUAACAGAAUGGUUCAAGUCAAUCACAACAUUUUCCUAAUGAUGUGAUCCCUUUAAUCAAAUGAUAACUCAUGUCUAUGCCCAGGAAACAUAACCAUCUUUGAUUAACGAGCUAGUUAAGUAGAGGCAUACUAGUGACACUCUGUUUGUCUAUGUAUUCACACAUGUAUUAUGUUUCCGGUUAAUACAAUUCUAGCAUGAAUUAUAAACAUUUAUCAAGGUAUAAGGAAAUAAAUAAUAACUUUAUUAUUGCCUCUAGGGCUUAUUGCCUUCAAAUUUCCAUAGCCAUUCCGAGAUAUAUUGCCAUGCAACUUUCCACCGUUUCGUUUGUUAUGACACGCUUCAUCAUUGUCAUAUUGCCAUGCAUGAUCAUGUAGUUGACAUCGUAUUUGUGGCAAAGCCAUGGUUCAUAAUUUUUUUCACACAUGUCACUCUUGGUUCAUUGCAUAUCCCGGUAUACAGCCGGAGGCAUUCACAUAGAGUCAUAUUUUGUUCUAAGUAUUGAGUUGUAAUUCUUGAGUUGUAAGUAAAAAGAAUGUGAUGAUCAUCAUUAUUAGAUCAUUGUCCUAGUGAGGAAAGGAUGAUGGAUACUAUGAUUCCCCCACAAGUCGGGAUGACACUCCGGACGGACAAUAAAAAAGGGAGAAAAGAGGCCAAAAGAAGAAGAAAGAAGGCCCAAAUAAAAAAAUAAGAGAAAAAGAGAGAAAGGACAAUGUUACUAUCCUUUUUCCACACUUGUGCUUGAAAGUAGCACCAUGCUCUUCAUGAUAGAGAGUCUCCUAUGUUGUCACUUUCAUAAACUAGUGGGAAUUUUACAUUAUAGAACUUGGCUUGUAUAUUCCAAUGAUGGGCUUCCUCAAAUUGCCCUAGGUCUUCGUGAGCAAGAAAGUUGGAUGCACACUGACUUAGUUUCUUUUGUUGAGCUUUCAUACACUUAUAGCUCUAGUGCAUACAUUGCAUGGCAAUCCCUACUCACUCACAUUGAUAUCUAUUGAUGGGCAUCUCCAUAGCCCGUUGAUACGGCUAGUUGAUGUGAGACUAUCUUCUCCUUUUUUUAUUCUCCACAACCAAAUUAUUUUUGGGACUAACCUAUUAACCGUAGGCCCAGCCCAAAUUGUUGUUGUUUUGCCUAUUUCAGUGUUCCGCAGAAAAAGAAUAUCAAACGGAGUCCAAACGGAAUGAAACCUUUGGGAGCGUGAUUUUUGGAACAAACGUGAUCCGGAGGAGUUGGAGUGGACGUCAAGCAACCAACAAGGAAGCCAUGAGGAAGGGGUGCGCCUACCCCCCUGGCCGCGCCCUCCACCCUCGUGGGCCCCUUGUCGCUCCACCCACCUACUUCUUCCUCCUAUAUGUACCUACGUACCCUGAAAACAUCAGAGAGCACCACAAAAACCUAAUUCCACUGCCACAACCUUCUGUACCCAUGAGAUCCCAUCUUGGGGCCUUUUCCGGCGCUCCGCCGGAGGGGGCAUUGAUGACGGAGGGCUUCUACAUCAACACCAUAGCCUCUCCGAUGACGUGUGAGUAGUUUACUUCAGACCUUCGGGUCCAUAGUUAUUAGCUAGAUGGCUUCUUCUCUCUCUUUGGUUCUCAAUACAAAGUUCUCCUCGAUGUUCUUGGAGAUCCGAUGAAUUGUGGGUUUAUGAUCAAGAUUAUCUAUGAGCAAUAUUUGAAUUUUCUCUGAAUUCUUUUAUGUAUGAUUGAUUAUCUUUGCAAGUCUCUUCGAAUUAUCAGUUUGGUUUGGCCUACUAGAUUGAUCUUUUGUGCAAUGGGAGAAGUGCUUAGCUUUGGGUUCAAUCUUGCGGUGCUUGAUCCCAGUGACAGUAGGGGAAACGACAUGUAUUGUAUUAUUGCCAUCGAGGAUAAAAAGAUGGGGUUUAUAUCAUAUUUCAUGAGUUUAACCCUCUACAUCAUGUCAUCUUGCUUAAAGAGUUACUCCAUUCUUAUGAACUUAAUACUCUAGAUGCAUGCUGGAAAGCAGUCGAUGUGUCACUACUAGGAAAUGGCCUACUAGUGGCGCACCUGUUUUGCCUACUAAUGGCGCACUACAGGUGCGCCACUAGUAUCACGCAAUUAGUAUUUUUUACUAAUGGCGCACCUGUGGUGCGCCGUUAGUAUCUGGUAUACUAAUGGCGCACAGUAUGCCUCCCAGGGGGCCAUAUUUACUCAUGUGCUUUGGCAUACUUAUGGCGCGCAGUGGAUGAUGCACCAUUAGAGUCCUUUUUGCAGUGCACCAUUAGUGUGCUGAGUGGUGCGUCACUAGUAUGAAUAUUAGGGAUUAUUUUUCUUCUUUUCUAAUAUUUGCACAGGUUACAAAACAUAUUUCUACACAUAAUAUAGAGAGCACAACAUAUAAACAGCAGAUUUAUCGAAUACAAUAGAAGAUUAGUCUCCGAAUACAAUUCAUCAUAUUAGCCUCUGAAUUUAAAAUACCGAACGAAGUUAGAACAUUACAAGUCUCGAAACCGCAAGUAGCGAGUUUGUCUUCACAUUACAAGUCGAUAUCGAUCAUCUAAACUGCCAUCACAUAGAAGAGAGUUGCGGUCAUCACGAUGAGCAUCAUCGUGAUGAAGCUGGUCUUCAUCCGGUUCCUCCUCCGCUCCCUCCUCUCUCCCACUAGAUAGCGCGUGUAUCUAGAUUCCGCCUCCGCCCUAGUGGUGUACCCUUUGUAACUGUUACCGCUGAAAUGGUGAACCUGUCUCCGACACUCCUCCCAGUCGUCGUAGACUCCGAGAACCUUAUGUAACACCCACGAUGCGGCUAUAUCUCCCACGUGUCGGAGCACGACUUAGAGGCAUAGCCGCAUGGUAGGCAUGUCGCAAGAGGGGUAAUCUUUACACAUCCCAUGUACUGAAUAAGAAAGGGAUAAGGAGUUGGCUUACAAUCGCCACUUCACACAAUACAUAAUCAUAGCAUUACAUCAUCCAGAAUACAAACACGGUCCGACUACACAACCAAAUAAAGAAAGACAACCCCUAAUGCAAAAGAUCCCCGAUUGCCCUGACUGGGCUCCACUACUGAUCAACUAGAAACGAAACAACACAACGAACACGAUCUUCAUUGAGCUCCACCUUGAGCUCGGUUGUAUCACCUGCACGGUUAUCAUUGGCACCUGCAACUGUUUGAAGUAAUCUGUGAGUCAAGGGGACUCAACAAUCUCACACCCUCGUGAUCAAGACUAUUUAAGCUUAUGGUAGGAAAGGGGUAGUGAGGAGGAGCUACAACACUAAGCAUAUACGGUGCCUAACUUACGCAAAUAAGAGCGAGAAGAGAAGCAAAGCACGGUUGUGGACUAGAAGUGAUCAAGAAGUGAUCCUGAAACUACUUACGUUCAAGCAUAACACGAGACCGUGUUCACUUCCCGGACUCCGCCGGAAAGAGACCAUCACGGCUACACACGUGGUUGAUGCAUUUUAAUUAAGUUAAGUGUCAAGUUCUCUACAACCACAUAUUAACAAAUUCCCAUCUGCCAUAACCGCGGGCACGGCUUUCGAAAGUUCAAAACCCUGCCGGGGUGUCCCAACUUAGCCCAUCACAAGCUCUCACGGUCAACGAAGGAUAUUCCUUCUCCCAGGAGGACCCGAUCAGACUCAGAAUCCCGGUUACAAGACAUUUCAACAAUGGUAAACAAGACCAGCAAAGCCGCCCGAUGCGCCGACUUCCUGAUAGGAGCUGCCCAUAUCUCGUUUUCAGGGCAACACCGGAUGAGGAAUCCAUACAACUAAAACCAGCCCUCAAGUUUCCCCGAGGUGGCGCUGCAAGGGGCUCUAGUUCGGACCAACACNNNNNNNNNNNNNNNNNNNNNNNNNNNNNNNNNNNNNNNNNNNNNNNNNNNNNNNNNNNNNNNNNNNNNNNNNNNNNNNNNNNNNNNNNNNNNNNNNNNNNNNNNNNNNNNNNNNNNNNNNNNNNNNNNNNNNNNNNNNNNNNNNNNNNNNNNNNNNNNNNNNNNNNNNNNNNNNNNNNNNNNNNNNNNNNNNNNNNNNNNNNNNNNNNNNNNNNNNNNNNNNNNNNNNNNNNNNNNNNNNNNNNNNNNNNNNNNNNNNNNNNNNNNNNNNNNNNNNNNNNNNNNNNNNNNNNNNNNNNNNNNNNNNNNNNNNNNNNNNNNNNNNNNNNNNNNNNNNNNNNNNNNNNNNNNNNNNNNNNNNNNNNNNNNNNNNNNNNNNGGUUGGCCGACCCAAGGGAAGGGUAAAAGGUUGUUAGGAAAAUGUAAAACCAAUGUUGGGCCUUGCUGGAGGAGUUUUAUUCAAGGCAAACUGUCAAGGGGUUCCCAUUAUAACCCAACCGCGUAAGGAACGCAAAAUCAAGGAACAUAACACCAGUAUGACGGAAACUAGGGCGGCAAGAGUGGAACAAAACACCAGGCAUAAGGCCGAGCCUUCCACCCUUUACCAAGUAUAUAGAUGCAUUAAUUAAAUAAGAGAUAUUGUGAUAUCCCAACAAUAAUCAUGUUCCAGCAUGGAACAAACUCCAAUCUUCACCUGCAACUAGCAACGCUAUAAGAGGGGCUGAGCAAAGCGGUAACAUAGCCAAACAAUGGUUUGCUAGGAAAGGUGGUUUAGAGGCUUGACAUGGCCAUAUGGGAGGCACGAUAUAGCAAGUGGUAGGUAUCGCGGCAUAGCAAUAGAGCGAGCAACUAGCAAGCAAAGAUAUAAGUGAUUUCGAGGGUAUGAUCAUCUUGCCUGAGAUCCCUCGAGGAAGAAGAACGAUUUCAUGAAGAAGACAAACGGACGUAGUUGAAUGGAUCCUCACAAACGCGACAUUAUUAGAACUAACCCAAAGAAGCAACACCAGAAAGAAGCAAGCAACAUAGUAAACAACCAUCACAUCAACAUGGCAUGAUGCACAACCAAGUAUGAUGCAUGUCCGGUUUAAUUAUGCAUAGCAUGGCAAAGUGCACAAGCAAAACUACAAGUUAAGUGGAUCUCAAUAUGCAACGAGUUGCAUAUUGACGAAACACCACAACAAUUAUUUAAUUCUCUCCUAUUUGUGUACCCAACAAUAUUAAAUGUUGAUUAACAUGGCAAGGGGUGAAGCACAACAAAAACUACCUAUCUAGGCAAGUUUAAAUGAGGCCGGAAACAACGAACAACAAUUCCGGUAAAACCCCAUAUGCAUAUUUUAAGGUUUGGUACUGUUCUGCCCUAAACAAAAUUUUAGGGUUGUUAAACAUGCAAAGUAAGGCCACCAUGUUAAACUAGGCAUUUUUUUACCCCAUUUACAUAUAAAGUGUGUUAGGUUUGGAGCUACGGUUGUUUAGUUAUGAAUAAAAUAAUUUUAGCAUGUUAUUUAAGAAAAUUAAAGCAAACAUCAUUUUAAACAUUUCAAACAUGCAUGAAAUAUGGAUAUUAUUAUUCUACACAAAAUUCUAAUCAACUUUCAUAUAUAAAACAUUUUAAUAUGAUGCACGGUUGAUGAGUUAUUAAUUGCAUGAACUCUAGGGACUUCUUUGUAAAACUGGCAAACUCUAGAUAAAAUGAUAAAAUCGAUGUACUGAAAAAAACACAAACAGGAUAGAUCUGUUGGACCAACAAUGCACAGGAGGGUUUCUCACCCAGUGGGCUUGGCCCAAAUCGGAAGAGAGAUAGGCCGAAAGGGGGGUGCUGCGCCUUGCCAGCAGCAGGCCGGUCUGGCGGGUGAAGAGGCCGGCUUGAGGGUUACAGUUGACACAAAAAAUGCUCGCCCUCUCCUCCAGGAGAUCGAGCAAGGCAGGGAAAACAGGAUGCGUUCCUCUACCUGACAAAAAGCAGAGCAGCGGCGGCCUAGGACUUCGAUGGAGGCCGCCGGGCGUGGAUCCGACGGGGUGGGGCCGAUCUGACUGGCAGUGAGGUCGAGAAAGCUCCAAGCAGCGGCGGUUCCCUGCUACUACAAGUCACAGAGAGAGAUAUUAGAAGGAGAGAGAGAAGAGGCUGGAGAGAAGAGAGGUAGGGUGCGGAGAUGGCCUGGUGGUGCUUGCUCCGGCGAGCUCUAUCGUAGAGGCGAGGCAGGGGCGGUCAAAGCAGGGGCAUCUCCUUGAUACCGCCGGCUGGAUGCAGAGCAGGCAUGGCUGUUGGGACUCCGGCAAGAGGCGCAGGGACUUGUCGGUCCGGCAGCGGCUGGAAUGGACGGAUCGGGCCUUAGGGCACCGGAUCCGGUGGGUGGUGGAGCUCCAUGGGCGGCGAUGCUGCGGCUUGGUGCAGGGAGGAGGUGGCGCUACCUGUGAAUGCCAUGAGAGAGAGAGAUCAUGAGAGAGAGAAGGAAGGUAGAGGAAGCUGCGGGGGAGACGGGAAGGAGCAAGGCGGCCUGAGGACUGGCUGCUCCGGCGAGCUCUGUCGCAGCGCGGUUGGCGGCCGAAGGGAGGCGUUCGACUCCUUGAGUCGACGAGGUGUACGAGGAGGCAGGUGCGAGGCCUCCUGUUCGUCUGCUGCGGUCGGGAGGACGAGGAGGCGGGCACGCAAGGCGGAGCUCGGCCGCGCUGGUUCAGGGAAAUGAGGAGGUUGGUUGGGUGGAUCAGGCAGGGAAGAUCCCGAGGGGGGAUUUGGUCAGGUGGCAGCAGCGAUGGGACAAACUCCUAGGUUUUAGGGUUUGAUCUAAUAUAUAUAUAUAUAUAUAUAUAUAUAUAUAUAUAUAUAUAUAUAUAUAUAUAUAUAUAUAACAAGUGGAUUUUUGGAUAGGGGCAUUUGGUCCCUCCGAUCUUAAACGUAUGGUCCCGGAUAAAUAGGUUAGGGAGCCCAAUUAAGAAAACGGAGACGUUUUGUAGAAGUUUGGGGAUGUUCCGGAUCCAACGGUGACGACUGCCCUGGUCGUGUCUGGGACAGCUUUCGGACGCGCGCGCGAGGAGGGCCGCGGGCAAACGAAAGAGGUUAGGUUGGGCCUGGCGAUAGGUAGUGAAAUGUGAAGACGGUCUAGGGAGGAAAGAGAGGGAAAGCUCAGCAACAGUUUCCGGAGAUCGAAAACGUCCGACGAUAGAGCGGCUAUACUGCCGCUAUAGUUAUCCGGUGGGGCGUCAAACGUACUCCAAAUGCGAUGAAACUUGGAAGGUGGCCUACCUACACUAUAAUAAGACCACAGGACAACUUUCAACCCAAUCCGAGAACAUUCCCCGGCCACUUAAAAAUUAGUAUCUCGGACGUGCCGCGGGCGUGUGCAAGUGUGGUUGAGCUCAGAACGGACAAGGGAGAGAACGAGGAGACCGGGACAGAUGCAAGUUUUGAAAACAUGAUGAUGCAAUGAACAUGAUGACAUGAUGAAAUGCAACACACAAACAAAUGACAAGGCAACAACAACGAAUAACUAGAAGACACCUGGCGCAUCAGUCUUGUGGCGUCACAACACUCCACCACUACGAGAGGAUCUCGUCCGGAGAUCUAGGAUGGCACCGGAGAGAAACGGAAGAGGAAGAGAAGAGGUAAAACAAAUUGCUUCUUUGACAAAUGCGUGAAACCACGAACCUUGAUAGGUUGAACAAAUUGCAAAGAAAGAAUACAACAAAGAUGAACAAAGUUGAAAACCUCCGUUUACAAGAGGAACAAGGAACAUCACGAGAACCCUGUAGGUUGAAAGACAUGAGAAAAGGGUUGCAAUGGACAAGAAGUACUUGAAAGCACUCCGGUAGAAACAAGAUGUACAAGGAACAAUAAGGAUCAUUUACGACAACAAUCCGGUUGAAAAAGGAAGGCAUAGAAUAUGAACUUGGCAAAAUUAUAGCACUUGGAUGAGACUCCAGUUAGAAGAAGAAUGAUAGAUGCAACACUCCGGUUAAACAAGAGAGAGAAGGAAUAAGGAUUAUAUAGAUUGGAUAGCACACCGACUGUAAAUGAAAGGAAUUGAAUAUGAACUAGACAAGAUGCGAGUAUGCUUGAUGAAAUCAACAAGGCACUGUCUCCGGAACUAUUGAAAGAAUUGUACAAGGGGUAAGAAGGAUUCCAGACAGCACUCGAUUGAGAAGGGAGGCAAAACUUGAUAAGAUGAGAAGAAAUUAAAUGGAGGACACGACACUCCGGUUGAAUGGAUAAGCAAAGGAAAGAACAUGAUCUUGGCAAAAUGAGAUGAUAGGACGAAGAGAGCAACAUCACCAUGCCUCCAAAACAAUUGAAUGGAAAACUAGAUGGUUGGAAAGAAAAGAACGGAGAAGAAGAAUGACAACUCUCGGAAAUAAAAUUGAAAGAGCAUGCUUACGGAGAAAAGGUUGAAAGGAGUUGUUGGAUUAUCAACAACGAAAUCAUAAGCUUGAUGUGGGCUAAUGGAAGACAUCUCGAAAUUAUGAGGUGAAAUUCUGCCACCAACGGAAAUAAAGAUUGGAUUGAUAUCAACAAGGAGUCGAGAAACUUAUUUCACCGAGAGGAUAAAUGAAGAACUUGGGUCAUUUCUAAGCACCAUAAUUAGCAACAAUCCUUAGGGAAAGCUUUAGGUGAAAUAUAACCCAAGAUAACACCAAAGAAGAGAUAGAUGGGUUGCAAAGGAUCUCAUGAAUGAAGAGAAGAUGAUGGGUUUAAAAUAUGUCAUUGUUGACAACCUAUGAAUCAUGAAACAUGAAGGGAAAUUAACAAGAAUGACAUAACACCGUCUCAAGAGAUAUGGUAGGAAGAAAUGCACUUCGGAAUGCAAGAUGAAGAAUGUUUGAACUCCUCAAAACAAGACAUGUGUUGAGCACCAUGUUUAAAUUUGAGUAAGCUUGGCGGAACUUAGCUUCGAGAGAAAAUCUUGAGGACAACUGAAGAAUGAAGAAAUCCUUGAGGAACCACCAUGUAGAGCCUCCAUGAAGAACUCCGUUAAUAAAAGGAAGAUAGAAAGAAAGAGAAGUUGAAAACACAAGGUGAAGCCUUGCAAUGAUUUAGGUGGAUCUCCGUGAUGAUGAGAGCUUGGAACUCAGGAAAAGAAAGAUGAACAAUUGAAACUGAGAAUUUUGAUGAUACUCCAGAAGUGAUGAUACUCCAGAUUUUGAUGAUACUCAGGAAAAGAGAAGUUGAAAACACAAGGUGAACAAUGAUUUAGAAGGGAAUUGAAUUUACUCGAUGAAACAAGAAUAAGAAUUACAUUAUGCUUAUCCUUCACCAAUUUAAAUUGAUGACAAGCAACGGAUUUGGCAUACUACUUAUUCUCAUUGGAAAGGAUUCAGGAGAGAUAUAGCAUAAACUUGAGAAGGUCUUCAACGAACCACCGGUAGGAUUGAAACAACAGAUGAAUUGAUAUUAUAACGAAGGAACAGAAAUCUUUAAUGAACCACCGUAAUAAUUGAAAAUCAACGUAGCAAAGGCACAAUUUACCAGUAAAAUUGGAAACAAAUGAAGAUACUUGAAGGAAUUUAGAUACAUGAAAACAAAUAGAUCACGAGCUCAUUAGAGAAUAUUUGAAUGAUGCACCGGUAAGAUUUGGAGAACAAUAGCUGAAAGCUGAGAAUGAAUAAUCCCGAAAUGAUGGCCUUCGGAGAAUCAAACUAAAAAGACUCUUGAAUUGCUCCGGAAGGGUGAAAAGCAUUCUCACAAUUGAAAACAAUUAUGAGAGGAUGGAUCAAGCUAGAACCCUGAAUCAUCAAGAGAACAUAUAUGAUUGCAGAGAAGCUCUUCCUCGAGUAGGUAAAUGAUAAAAACAGAAUUUUUGAUGCCGAGUGCUACUUGGCAUUAUUUUAAUGUAAUUCUUCUUAAUUGUGGUAUGAAUUAUUCAGAUCCGAAAGAUUCAAGAUAGAAGUUCAUAUUGACAUAAAAUAAUAAUACUUCAAGCAUACUAACUAAGCAAUUAUGUCUUCUCAAAAUAACAUGGCCAAAGAAAGUUCAUCCCUACAAAAUCAUAUAGUUUAGUCAUGCUCCAUUUUCAUCACACAAGAAUGCUCUCAUCAUGCACAACCCCGAUGACAAGCCAAGCAAUUGUUUCAUACCUUAGCAAUCUCAAACCUAUAAACUUUCACGCAAUAUAUGAGCGCGAGCCAUGGACAUAGCACUAUGGGUGGAAUAGAAUAUGAUGAUGGGGGUUAUGUGGAGAAGACAAAAAGGGAGAAAGUCUCACAUCAACGAGGCUAAUCAAUGUGCUAUGGAGAUGCCCACCGAUUGAUGUUAAUUCAAGGAGUAGGGAUUGCCAUGCAACGGAUGCACUAUGAAAAUGAUGAUCAUCACACUUCUAUUUAUUUACAACUCAAUGAUUACAACUUGAUGCUAGAACAAAAGAUGACUCUAUAUGAAUGCCUCCGGCGGUGUUGCGGUAUAUGCAAUGAACCAAGAGUGACAUGUAUGAAAGAAUUAUGAACGGUGGCUUUGCCACAAAUACUAUGUCAACUACAUGAUCAUGCUAAGCAAUAUGACAAUGAUGAAUGUAUCAUGAUAAACGGAAUGGUGGAAAGUUGCAUGGCAAUAUAUCUCGGAAUGGCUAUGGAAAUGCCAUAAUAGGUAGGUAUGGUGGCUGUUUUGAGGAAGAUAUAAGGAGGUUUAUGUGUGAAAGAGUGUAUCAUAUCAUGGGGUUUGGAUGCACCGGCGAAGUUUGCACCAACUCUCAAUGUGAGAAAGGGCAAUGCACGGUACCGAAGAGGCUAGCAAUGAUGGAAGGGUGAGGGUGCGUAUAAUCCAUGGACUCAACAUUAGUCAUAAAGAACUCACAUACUUAUUGCAAAAAUCUACAAGUCAUCAAAAACCUCGGCACUACGCGCAUCCUCCUAGGGGGGUAGAUUGGUAGGAAAAGACCAUCGCUCAUCCCCGAUCGCCACUCAUAAGGAAGACAAUCAAAAAACACCUCAUGUUUCAAAUUUCAAACUUCAACACAAGCACUUCUCAAAUUCAGAACUACUCAACUAGCACGACUUUGAUAUUAUUACCUCCAUAUCUCAAAACAAUCAUCAAGCAUCAAACGUCUCUUAGAAUUCAAAACACUCCGAGGAUUAUUAUACUAAUCUUGAAUACCUAGCAUAUUAGGAUUAUAAGAAAAUUACCAUGCUAUUUAAGACUCUCAAAUUAAUCUAAGUGAAGCAUGAGAGAUCAAUAGUUUCUAUAAAACAAAUCCACCACCGUGCUCUAAAAGAUAUAAGUGAAGUCCUAGAGCAAAACUAUAUAACUCAAAAGAUAUAAGCGAAGCACAUAGAGUAUUAUAACACAUUCCAAAUCAUGUAUCACUACUAGGAAAAGGGAUAUAGAUGAAAUUGACACUAAUGGCGCACCAGACAAGUGGUGCGCCACUACUAUAUACUAAUGGCGCACCAUGUGUUGGUGCGCCAUUAGUGUCCAAAUACUAAUGGUGUACCACAUCCAUGAUGCGCCACUAGUAAAAAAAUUGUUUUUUUUCAAAAAUACUAAUGGCGCAUCAGUGGAUAGUGCGCCAUUACUAGUUUUAACUAGUAAUGGCGCAUGAGUGGAUAGUGCACCAUUACUAGUUUUAACUAGUAAUGGCGCACCAGUAAGAGAUGCGCCAUUGCUAUCUAUACGUAUCGCGCACCCCUACCAGUGCGCCAUUUCUAUCACCCCUUAUCCCCUCCCUCUCAUCAUGUUCUCUCCCCUCACCUUCCUCCUGACACACCCACCCACCUCCCUCGACUUCGAUUUAGAUCGGGAAGCCCCUGCCGCCCGCCUCUUCCUCUCCCUCCUGACCAUGGCGAGCCCCCUUCCCCCUCCCUCACACCAGAUCCAGGGCAUGGAGCCGUGGUGAGAUCCUUCCCCAACCCUCCUCACCGGAUUCUGAGGAGAGCUGGUGACCACAUCCUCCAGCGACGGUGUUGCUCCGGGGUGUGGAGGCCGCUGAGCUGUAGGAGGAGGAGCUCCCCGCCACCCCAAGGCCCCAGAUCCAGCUGCCACGGCCAUAGCCAUGGUCGGGCUUCGGCAACUAGCAGAGGAAUGCCACAUUCUCCACCACGAAGCAUGCCUCCUUCCACCUCUCGCCGCUGCGCCCAACCUAAAAACGGCAGCAGCACGGGAUCCCCUCCAAAUCUGAGGAGCAUCUGACGCACGCGUGAGUGCCUUGUCUUCUUCCUCCUCCUCUGCUGCUGCUGCUUAUUCUUCUUCCCCUGAUCUGAUGCGUUCGUGCGUGCGUGUGGUUGUGUGGAGGCAAUGUAGUUGAAGGAAGGGGGCGGGCCAUGGAGAAGCUGCUCCGACACUGACCAUGUAGAUUGGUCUCACACGGCCAGGCCCACCAGAGGAGCCUCUCCAGCGAUGGGGAUCCGACAAGGAAGGAUUCCUUGCGCCUACAACUAUACAGCCAGGCCACAUGAACUGCAAGUAAAACUGCACGGUCAAACCUAAUAAUUUGAUUAAAACUGCAAUAGCAGCAGCAUAAAGCAAUCCCUUUUUAUCUUCAGUUUAUAUUGUAUGAGGUGUACUAAUGAACAAGUUUUUUUCACCCACUCAUUCUUGCUUCAGCUUCACCACUUUUUUUGGUGGUGCAUAAUCACAACCACCACCAGCAGACACUUGUUGGACCUACCCUCAAACUAGUUCCACAAAUAUGCCUCACUGUACCAACCUUGUACAGCAGUGCCAAAUUAGUUCAGCCAUUCCAAUUUCAGUAUCAUACUGAAGAUACUGAUUUCUAUAUGAUUUAGACAAUCGAAAUUCACAUUAGAUUGUGCCUGUCUCGCUGAAGCUGUCAGUCUGAAAAAUAGUUUACUGAAGUGCAGUUGAUCGGCUUCAGUUAGUACUUAGGACUUGAUAAUAACUUCAGCCAAUCUACUUCAUCAGUUAUGAAUGGUUUCAUUAGAUAAUAAUGAGUAAGUGAAGAAGUUGAAUGCAAAUAGUCGAUAUUUUCAUUGUGGCUGUUAGAUUAAUCAGCCUAUGUAGUAUGUACAGAUGCUUAUAAGGUGAUCCGAAGUUUAGUUGGUUGUCGAAGAAGAAUAAAUUCAUAAAUCAAAUGUGCAAAAUUAGUCCAGUCAUCUCAGUUUCAGGUUCAUAGAGAAGAUACUGAUUUCUAUAUAUGAUUUAGCCAAUUGAAAUUCACACUGCACUGUGCCUGUCUCACUGAAGUUGUUAGUUACUUGGUCUGAAAAACUGUGUACUGAAAUUGUUGGUCUGAAAACACUUUACUGAAACUACAGCGAAUCUUCUUCAGUUAGGACUUAGGAUUUGACAAUAAGUAAGCAUGCAAACUGAUGGCUUUAAUUUGAUGCUAACAUGCUUUCAUUCAGAUGAUUCGGUUCUUCAGUUUAAUAUAAUAUGCCACUAAUGGAAAACUUUGGAACUUAUAAAAAUCUAAAUAAAUUUAGUCUGCCUCAUAGAGAAGUUAAUUUCUACUGAAUUUUUUUAGCCUACUUUAAUAUUGUUUUUUAGUAUCUUUUUCUGCACCUUUUUCUUUCAGUUCUUAGUGCUGCUGCCCCAUGAACACAUUUUUUUAAUUUGACUGUACAUUCAAAUGAAUCCUUUGUUAAGUAUACACUCGAAAAUUCAGUUAACAGUAGCCUAACUAAAUUUUUUGUUUCUGAAUUUAUAAACUCACUUUAUAUUCAGUUUAUAAAUUAACAGUAGCUUCAAAAUUAAGUAUCCUUCGCAUGGAUCAACUGUUAUUUUAUUUUGUGGAGGAUAAAGUUCAGAUCAUGAAUAAUGGCAUUACAAGUGAACUUGGCACAAUUACACAUGUCCUGAAUCUCAUAGAAUCUGACACUAGCAAGUCUUCAUUGGCAUGCAAGUACUACUUUUACAUUGUCAUGAAAGGAACAAUUAAUUUGACAUGUAUCAUUGGUACUACUAAAACAUUUCGUUCAUGUUUCAACAAAUUUGGUGAAGACCACUUCAUAUGUAUUUUGCAUAUAUGAAUUAUCUCCUGUUGCUUUCUAAGAUGUUAGUUAUUUCAGUUCUAGCCCUCCUAUCUUUAAAUCCUGGCUGCUGGACUACCUGCAGGACAACGAGUUCAUCUGCGGCAGCUAUCGCUGUGAGCAGUCCGUCCACGACGCGCUCCGCAGCAUCUUCGGCGGGCACAACGAGAUCCUCAACGUCUGGAAGUAAGUCACCGGCCAUCUUUUUCCUGAUGAAUUUUCUUUCUAGCUCAAUGUGAUCAGAUCUGACUAGUACGUUCAGAUUUACUCUUGUUUUCUUUUCAAAUAGUACUAGUAGUCUAUAUUCCAGCUGUGCGACUAUCUGUAGCCACUUGAACCGAUGAGAAUUCUUCAAGCCUUCCUAUAGCCACUUGAACAAAUGUCCAUCUCAGAUCUGCUCAUCUAAAAAAUCCAAGUGGAGUAGUAUACUGGUAGUAUAGUAUAAUAAUAUUAUCAACAGGUAAAUGCCCUGAUUAUUUAGCUCUGUCAGAUAAAUACUCGUCGAAAGUGGGCUCCUAUCAAAAUUCAUUUCCAUUAUAAUCUUACUCAUACAAUAUUCACACCAUGUAAUUCUGGAAAUAUAUGCUCAUAUCUAGUUCUACAUAAAAAAUGACAGUAUUGACAUGUUAUAAAUAGUUUGUUUGUGUUUCUGUUUAUUUUGUUACAUUUUGCUGGGAUAAGGUGAAGAAAAAGAAGAAAAGAUUACUAGAAGAUUAGUUUUAGGAUUUUCUUUUAUUUCCUUGCAAUUUUCCUUUUAUUGGAAACUUGUAAAGACAUUGUAAUAUUCGAACUAUAAUAAAAAUUAUGAUUCUAUUUCAUUUUUUGUUUUUAAAUUAUUUUUCCUUAUAUGUUGUUUUCUGUAAAUUUAGAUUUUUUUUGUUUUCCAAAUACAUUACUAGUGGUGCAUUUACGCCCUUAUUAGUGGCGCACCUUCUUUUAUUACUAGUGGCGCACCUAUAAGGUUAUUAGUGGCGCACCUGGAGGGAAUACCAGUGGAGCACCGAAUGGUAUACCAAUGGCGCACCACAUGGUGCGCCAUUAGUAUAUAAUACUAGUGGCAUGGUACUAGUGGCGCACCAGUAGUGCGCCAUUAGUAGGCAAAACUGGUGCGCCACUAGUAGGCCUUUUCCUAGUAGUGUAUGGGGCUCUCAAAAUGUGUGUACAGCAAGGAUGAUUGUGGUAAACUAACAAAUAAAGACUCAAAUAAUACAAGACGCUCCAAGCAAAACACAUAUCAUGUGGUGAAUAAAAAUAUAGCUCCAUGUAAUGUUACCGAUAGAAUUAGACGAAAAGAGGGGAUUCCUUCCGGGGCAUCCCCAAGCUUUGGCUUUUAGGUGUCCUUAUAUUAUCUUGGGGUUCCAAGGGAAUCCCCAAGCUUAGGCUCUUGCCACUCCAUGUUCCAUAAUCCAUCAAAUCUUUACCCAAAACUUGAAAACUUCACAACACAAAACUUAAAGUAGAAAAUCUCGUGAGCUCCGUUAGCGAAAGAAAACAAAAGACCACUCCAAGGUACUGUAAUGAACUCAUUCUUUAUGUAUAUUGGUUUUAAACCUACUUUAUUCCAACUUCUCUAUGGUUUAUAAACUAUUUUACUAGCCAUAGAUUCAUCAAAAUAAGGAAACAACACAUGAGAAACAGAAUCUGUCAAAAACAGAACAGUCUGUAGUAAUCUGUAGCUAGCGCAAGAUCUGGAACUCCAAAAAUUCUAAAAUAAAUUUCUGAACGUGAGGAAUUUAUAUAUUAAUCAUCCGAAAAAAGAAUUAACUAAAUAGCACUUUCCAAAUAAAAAUGGCAGCAGUUCUCGUGAGCGCUAAAGUUUCUGUUUUUUACAACAAGAUUAACAAGAAUUUCCCCAAGUCUUCCCAACGGUUCUACUUGGCACAAACACUAAUUAAACACAAAAAACACAACCUAAACAAAAAGCUAAAUAAAUUAUUUAUUACUAAACAGGAGCAAACGGCAAGGAAUAAAAAUAAAAUUGGGUUGCCUCCCAACAAGAGCUAUCAUUUAACGCCCCUAGCUAGGCAUAAAAAGCAAGGAUAGAUCUAGGUAUUGCCAUCUUUGGUAGGCAAUCCAUAAGUGGCUCUCCUAAUAGAUUCAUAAGUUAAUUUAUUUUAUUUCUAGGAAAGCGUUCCAUGCCUUUCCUUAACGGAAAUUGGAAUCUAAUAUUUCCUUCCUUCAUAUCAAUAAUUGCACCAAUCGUUCUAAGGAAAGGUCUACCAAGAAUAAAGGACAUGAAGGAUUGCAAUCUAUGUCAAGAAAAAUAAAAUCUACGGGUACAUAAUUCCUAUUUUAAACAAUAAGAACAUCAUUAAUUCUUCCCACAGGUUUCUUAAUAGUAGAAUCUGCAAGGUGCAAGUUUAGAGAGCAAUCAUCAAAAUCACGGAAACCUAACAAAUCACACAAAGUUUUUGAAAUCGUGGAAACACUAGCACCCAAAUCAGACAAAGCAUAGAAUUCAUGAUCUUUAAUUUUAAUUUUAAUAGUUGGUUCCCACUCAUCAUAAAGUUUUCUAGGAACAGAGACUUCUAAUUCAAGUUUUUCUUGAUAAGAUUGCAUCAAGGCAUCAACGAUAUGUUUAGUGAAUGCUUUAUUUUGACUAUAAGCGUGAGGAGAAUUUAGCACAGAUUGCAACAAGGAAAUACAAUCAAUCAAAGAGAAAUUUUCAUAAUUAAAUUUCUUGAAAUCCAAAAUAGUGGGUUUAGCAACAUCAAAGGUUUUAAUUUCUUCAAUCCCACUUUCAUCAAUUUUAGCAUCAAGAUCUAAAAACUCCGAAUUCUUGGACCGUCUUCUAGGUAAAGGUGGAUCACAAUCAGUUCCAUCAUUAUUAAGAUUCAUAUUGCAAAAAAAAAAGAUUUAAUGGGGGACACAUCAAUAACUUUUAGAUCUUCAUCUUUAUUUUCAUAGGAACUAGAAGAACAAGCUCUUAUAAAGGCAUCUUUCUUAGCACGCAUCCUAGCGGUUCUUUCUUUGCACUCAUCACUGGAAAUUCUCAUGGCUGUGAGAGACUCAUUGAUAUCAUGCUUAGGUGGAAUAGAUCUAAGUUUCAAAGAAUCAACAUCAAGAGAAAUUCUAUCAAUGUUCCUAGCCAACUCAUCAAUCUUAAGCAAUCUUUCUUCAAUCAAAGCAUUGAAAUUCUUUUGCGAAGUAAUAAAUUCUUUAAUAUUAGAUUCAAAAUCAGAGGGCAUCUUAUUAUAAUUUCCAUAAGAAUUUUUGUAGGAAUUACCAUAAUUAUUAGAGGGAUUACUAGGAUAAGGCCUAGGAUUAAAAUUUCCUCUACACGCGUUAUUACGAAAAUUGUUCCUACCAACACAAUUCACAUCCAUAGAUUCAUUAUUAUUCUCAAUCAAAGUAGACAAGGCCAUAUCAUUAGGAUUAGAAGAAACAUAUUUAUUAGCAAAUAAUUUCAUAAGUUCAUCCAUCUUUCCACUCAAUACAUUAAUUUCUUCUAUCGCAUGCACCUUUUUAUUAGUAGAUCUUUCAAUAUGCCAUUGAGAAUAAUUAACCAUAAUAUUAUCUAGGAGUUUAGUAGCUUCUCCUAAAGUGAUUUCCAUAAAAGUGCCUCCCUCGGCCGAAUCUAAAAGAUUUCUAGAAGCAAAAUUCAAUCCGGCAUAAAAUUUUUGUAUAAUCAUCCACGGAUUCAAACCAUGAGUAGGGCAAUUAUGUAUCAUUAAUUUCAUCCUCUGCCAAUCUUGUGCAACAUGUUCAUGAUCAAUUUGCUUAAAAUUCGUAAUAUCGUUUCUAAGGGAGAUGAUCUUAGCGGGAGGAAAAUACUUAGAGAUAAAAGCAUCUUUGCACUUAUUCCAUGCAUCAAUACUAUUCUUAGGCAAAGACGAAAACCGAGCUUUAGCACGAUCUCUAAGCGAAAAAGGAAAUAGCUUCAAUUUAACAAUAUCAUUAUCCACAUCUUUCUUCUUUUGCAUAUCACACAAAUCAACGAAGCUAUUUAGAUGGGUAGCGGCAUCUUCACUAGGAAGGCCGGAAAACGGAUCUUUCAUGACAAGAUUCAGCAAAGCAGUAUUAAUUUCACAAGAUUCAACAUCGGUAAGAGGAGCAAUCGGAGUGCUAAUAAAAUAAUUGUUGUUGGUAUUGGUAAAGUCACACAAUUUAGUAUUAUCUUGAGCCAUCGUGACAACCAAGCAAACUAACACACAAGCAAACAAAAAGCAAGCGGGCAAAAAGAGGCAAAUAGAGAAAGAGAGGGAGGAUAGAGAGAGUGGGCGAACAAAACGUCAAGGGUGAAGUGGGGGAGAGGAAAACGAUAGGCAAAUGGAAAAUAAUGUAAUGUGGGAGAUAGGGAUUGUGAUGGGUACUUGGUAUAUUGACUUUUGCAUUGACUCCUCGGCAACGGCGCCAGAAAUCCUUCUUGCUACCUCUUGAACACUACAUUGGUUUUCCCCGAAGAGGAAGGGAUGAUGCAGCAAAGUAGCGUAAGUAUUUCCCUCAGUUUUUGAGAACCAAGGUAUCAAUCCAAUAGGAGGCUACGCACGAGACCCUCGUACCUACACAAAACAAAUAAAUCCUCGCAACCAACGCGAUAAGGGGUUGUCAGUCCCUACACAGCCACUUACGAGAGUGAGAUCUGAUAGAUAUGGUAAGAUAAUAUUUUUGGUAUUUUUAUGAUAAAGAUGCAAAGUAAAAUAAAAGCAAAGGAAAUAACUAAGUAUUGGAAGAUUAAUAUGAUGAAGAUAGACCUGGGGGCCAUAGGUUUCACUAGUGGCUUCUCCUAAGAGCAUAGGUAUUCUACGGUGGGUGAACGAAUUACUAUUGAGCAAUUGACAGAAUUGAGCAUAGUUAUGAGAAUAUCUAGGUAUGAUCACGUAUAUAGGCAUCACGUCCGAGACAAGUAGACCGACUCCUGCCUGCAUCUACUACUAUUACUCCACUCAUCGACCACUAUCCAGCAUGCAUCCAGAGUAUUAAGUUAAUGAAAACAGAGUAAUGCCUUAAGCAAGAUGACAUGAUGUAGAGGGAUAAACUCAUGCAAUAUGCUGAAAAUCCCAUCUUGUUAUCCUCGAUGGCAACAAUACAAUACAUGCUUUGCUGCCCAUACUGUCACUAGGAAAGGACACCACAAGAUUGAACCCAAAGCUAAGCACUUCUCCCAUUGCAAGAAAGAUCAAUCUAGUAGGCCAAACCAAACUGAUAAUUCGAAGAGACUUGCAAAGAUAACCAGUCAUACAUAAAAGAAUUUAGAGAAUAUUCAAAUCUUGUUCAUAGAUAGACUUGAUCAUAAACCCACAAUUCAUCGGUCUCAACCCCGUGAUAUGAUACGCUCUAUCACACAUAAGCCUCCUUAUAUCUUCCUCAAAAGAGCCACCAUACCUACAUAUUAUGGAAUUUCCAUAGACAUUCCGAGAUAUAUUGCCACAAAAUUUUCCAUCGUUCCAUUUAUUAUGACACGCAUCAUCAUUGUCAUAUUUCUUUGCAUGAUCAUUUAGUUGACAUCAUAUUUGUGGUAGGGCCACCAUGCUUAAUUUUCAUACAUGUCACUCUUAAUUCAUCGCAAUCCCGGUACACUACCGGAGGCAUUCACAUAGAGUCAUAUUGUGUUCUAAGUAUCGAGUUGUAAUUCUUGAGUUGUAAGUAAAUAAAAGUGUGUUGAUCAUCAUUAGAGCAUUGUCCCGUGUGAGGAAAGGAUGAUGGAUACUAUGAUUCCACCACAAGUCGGGAUGAGACUCCGGAUGAAAAAAAGAGGCCAUAAAAAAAAGAAGGCCGAAACAAAAAAAGAGAGAGAAAAAGAGAGAAGGGACAAUGUUACUAUCCUUUUUCCACACUUGUGCUUCAAAGUAGCACCAUGAUCUUCAUGAUAGAGAGUCUCUUAUUUUGUCACUUUCAUAUACUAGUGGGAAAUUUUCAUUAUAGAACUUGGCUUGUAUAUUCCAAUGAUGGGCUUGCUCAAAUGCCCUAGGUCUUCGUCAGCAAGAAAGUUGGAUGCACACCCACUUAGUUUCUUUGAUAAGCUUUCAUAUAUUUAUAGCUCUAGUGCAUCCGUUGCAUGGCAAUCCCUACUCCUUGCAUUGCCAUCAAUCGGUGGGCAUAUCCAUAGCCCAUUGAUUAGCCGCGUCAAUGUGAGACUUUCUCCCUUUUUGUAUUCUCACAUAACCUCAAUCAUCAUACUCUAUUCCACCCAUAGUGCUAUGUCCAUGGCUCGCGCUCAUAUAUUGCGUAAAAGUUGAAAGAGUUUGAAAAAGCUAAGUAUGAAACAAUUGCUUGGCUUGUCAUCGGGGUUGUGCAUGAGGGGAGCAUUUUGUGUGACAAAAAUGAAGCAUGACCAAACUAUAUGACUUUUUACAAAUAAGUUUUCUUUGGCUAUAGUAUUCUGAUAAGACAUAAUUGUUUGAUUAGCAUACUUGGAGUACUACUAUUUUUAUGUCAACAAUAAACUUUUAUCUUGAAUCUUUCGGAUCUGAACAUUAAUGCCACAAUAGAGAAAAAUACAUUGAAGAACAUGCUAGAAAGCAUUCCACAUCAAAAAUUCUGUUUUUAUCAUUUACCUACUCGAGGCGAGCAGGAAUUAAGCUUGGGGAUGCUGAUACGUCUCCAACGUAUCUAUAUUUUUUGAUUGUUCCAUGCUAUUAUAUUAUCUGUUUUGGAUGUUAAUGGGCUUUAUUUUACACUUUUAUAUUAUUUUUCGGACUAACCUAUUAACCCAAGGCCCAGUGCAAAUUGUUGUUUUUUUGCCUAUUUCAGUGUUUCGCAGAAAAGGAAUAUCAAAUGGAGUCCAAACGGAAUGAAACCUUCGGGAGCAUGAUUUUUGGAACAAACGUGAUCCAGAGGACUUGGAGUGGCGUCAAGCAACCAACGAGGAGUCCAUGAGGCAGGGGGCGCGCCUACCCCCUGGGCGUGCCCUCCCCCUUGUGGGCCCCUCAUGGCUCAACCGACCUACUUCUUCCUCCUAUAUAUGUUCACAUACCCCGAAAACAUCCAGGAGCACCAAGAAACUCUAUUUCCACCGCAGCAACCUUCUGUACCCAAGAGAUCCCAUCUUGGGGCCUUUUCUGGAGCUCCGCCGGAGGGGGCAUUGAUCACAGAGGGCCUCUACAUCAACUCCAUGGCCCCUCCGAUUAUGUGUGAGUAGUUUACUUCAGACCUUCGGGUCCAUAGCUAGUAGCUAGAUGGAUUCUUCUCUCUCUUUGGAUAUCAAUACAAAGUUCUCCUUGAUCUUCUUGGAGAUCUAUUCGAUGUAACUCUUUUUGCGGUGUGUUUGUCGAGAUCCAAUGAAUUGUGGGUUUAUGAUCAAGUCUAUCUAUGAAAAAUAUUUAAUUCUUCUCUGAAAUCUUUCAUGCAUGAUUGGUUAUCUUUGCAAGUCUCUUUGAAUUAUCAGUUUGGUUUGGCCUACUAGAUUGGUCUUUCUUGCCAUGGGAGAAGUUCUUAGCUUUGGGUUCAAUCUUGUGAUGCUCGAUCCCAGUGACAGAAAGGGAAACAACACGUAUUGUAUUGUUGCCAUCAAGGAUAAAAAGAUGGGGUUUAUAUCAUAUUGCUUGAGUUUAUCCCUCUACAUCAUGUCAUCUUAACUAAGGUGUUAUUUUGUUCUUAUGAACUAAGUAGUAGAUGCAGGCAGGAGUCGGUCUACUUGUCGCGGACGUGAUGCCUAUAUACAUGAUCAUGCCUAGAUAUUCUCUUAAUUAUUCACUUUUCUAUCAAUUGUUCGACAGUAAUUUGUUCACCCACCAUAAUACUUAUGCUAUCUUGAGAGAAGCCACUAGUGAAACCUAUGGCCCCCGGGUCUAUUCUCCAUCAUAUAAGUUUCCAAUCUAUUUUACUUUGCAAUCUUUACUUUUAAUCUAUAUCAUAAAAAUACCAAAAAUAUUUAUCUUAUCAUUAUUAUCUCUAUCAGAUCUCACUCUCGGAAGUGACCAUGAAGGGAUUGACAACCCCUUUAUCACGUUGGUUGCGAGGUUCUUAUUUGUUUGUGUAGGUACGAAGGAUUUGCUUGUGGCCUCCUACUGGAUUGAUACCUUGGUUCUCAAAAACUGAGGGAAAUACUUACACUACUUUGCUUCAUCACCCUUUCCUCUUCAAGGGAAAACCAGCGCAGUGCUCAAGAGGUAGCAAAGAGCUUCUGGGUAUGCCUGCUCACCGGCCUGUCGAGUUUGUUAUUGAUCUUGACCCCGGUACAGAACCUGUUUGCAAGCGCCCCAACAAGCUUGGGCCAGAAGAGCUGAAAGAAUUGAAGAAACAACUUGAUGAACAAGAACGUCUGGGUCUGAUCAGACCAAGUUCAUCUCCUUGGGGAUGUGGUGUUCUCUUUGUCCAAAAGAAGGAUGGCACGGUACGACUUUGCGUCGAUUACCGCCCAUUGAAAAAGAAGACAAUCAAGAAUAAGUUCCCGCUUACCAACAUCAAUGAAUUGUUCGAGCAACUCCAAGGUGCAAAAUUGUUUUCCAAGCUUGACCUCCAUAUGGGGUAUCACCAGAUUUGCAUUCGUGAAGAAGAUAUCAAAAAGACAACUUUCAGAUUGUGUAGGGGAUAUAACUACCAGGUAUGACCCGCCCAGGAGGGGUAGGGUCAACCUUAAUGGUGGGUUACUAAAACAAGCCCGACGAGUAUACAAGGCGACGGUUCAUUAUAAGACUUGUAGCAGGCCCAGGCCUAGAGGCAGCUUAAGGCCCACAAUUGUAAACCGCCAUGUAUGAGUAAGACUUGUAAAGUAAGGCAUGUAAAGAAGUCACCGAGCCGAACACGUUGUAUGAGCCGGCCGGGACUCUGUAGGCCGCCAGGUGUCGACCCGUGUAUAUAAGGGGAUGACCCGGUGGCGGCUUAGGGCAAGAAACAACAGAUCGAGAGCCAAGCUAGCGUAUUUCACUCCUUGGUCAUCAAAACCUAGCAAUACCACAACAACUGGACUAGGCUUUACCUUCACUGCAAGGGGCCGAACUAGUAUAAACCUCUCGUGUCCUUUGUCCCGAUUAACCCCUUUAAGCUUCCUAGUUGUGAUGGCUCCACGACUAGGUCCUUUCACUAGGACAUCUGCCGUGACAAUUCCACGAUAGUUGGUGCCCACCGUGGGGCCAGCACACGAUGGAUUUGAGUUCUUGAAGGGCAGCUUCGAAGGGCUCAAGGGAUACGCUAUGGGCCGGAUGACCAAGAGUCGUCGCGGUAAGCUCUACAUCAACGACGCGGGCUGGGCCCCCGAGGCCGGCUCAAUUGAGUAUGGGUACCGGGUCCCCUUCGGCGGAAUCCAUGUCUUCAUCGGCCGGAUCGGUGAGCCGGGCCCUGAGCCGGGCAUCUGCACCGACCUCAUCGAGACGGCUUAGCAUGCGAGACCCGCCCGGACUCAGCCGGCCGUAAGGCGUGCCUUCGUGGGUUGCAUCCAUGGAGGGGAGUUUUCUGAAAGAUCUGUGGAUGGCGGCGAGACGGAUGUCCACUUUGAUGGCGAGUCGUCCACAGGUGAGAUGGAUUCAUUGUAUCAACUAUAGGACGGUGGGUUUGGGGGCUAUUCCUAUGGCAGCAGUAUUCCAGACCCCUUUGAGCCGCCGAAUCGAGCCGGGGUCUUCAUGGCUGGCACUCAACCCAGUCAGAAUUCUAUGGCCGCAACAGCGGUAACCACCGGAUCGGCAGCAGUCGGGUUAGGAGACCCCGUGCGCCCGCCGGCUCAGGUGCUGAUGGCUCUCAUGGAUAGGAUGACGGCCUUGUUGACCGUCGUGGUUGAACCGGCAGACAAAGCUCAGCAUGAUGCAGAGGUGGCAUGGUUACGUGGGGAGGUAGCACAAGCCAAGGAGAAUUUAGCAGCGGAGGACGUAAGGAUGGCUGCAGAACAGGCGACUCUGGAUGCUCGUUCUCAGCAGCUUCAAGCAGAGACUUUCCGGCUCUCGAUGGAUCUAAACGCAUCAAACGUGGUCAUGAGGAGAAGGCACCAAAAGGCUCAAUCACGUCUGCCUCUGACUUAUGAUCCUAGGAACCUCUUCCACACACGUGGGGCUGGUCCCAGUAACCCGCCGGAGGCAAACCGGAUCACAACACCCGGGACUGGGGUGCCGAUUCAACCGCGGGCCAUGGAACCCCCUCAUGUGAAUACUGCUUCGCCUCAUUACGCACCAAUACCACUGGGUCACUUUUCUAACCCUUUGGAGAAUCUGAUCGAUGUGUCGGCUCGUUUGGCGGCUAUCUCGAAGGAAGGCGACUCUCCAAUAGCGAUCGAAACACGAAGGGUCAAAGAACUUCUUCAGACGGCUCUGGCACAGCAGGAUGCAUACUCUUAUAGUCGAGACAGAAUCCAUUCAACCCCUCACCCAAGCCGGAGCCCGAGCUAUAGCAGGCAUAUGGACUCAGCGGCCGUGUCAAGCAAUGCCCAACGCCGUAACCAACCAUGCAGGCAUGACCCGGCGCGGGAUGGAGCUCUUAACUUGGUGGAGCAGGAGAUGAUCCAUCAAGAGGCUGAGCAGGCGGUUCAACAGGCAGCUGAGCUGGCAGCUCACCAGGCUUUUCCGGUUUAUCCAGCGAUCUCUGUUGAAGCAGAUGAGGCCACAAGGACAGCAGGUGUCCCUUGUCUGGUGCCGGCUCUGCGUAAUGAGCAUUUGCCAAAGGACUUUAAGGGGCCUCGUAAGGUACCUAAUUACACAGCCGACCUGCAGCCCAGGGCAUGGAUUUAAAGUUACGAGAUGGCCAUGGAGUUAUUGGAGGUCAGUGAUUCAGUAAUGGCCAAGUACUUCACUAUGAUGUUAGAUGAAACAGCUCGCACUUGGUUGAAGGGAUUGCCACCCAACUCCAUCGUCUCAUGGGCGGAGUUGAAAGCCCGGUUCAUUCAGAACUUCAAAAAUACAUGUAAGAAACCCAUGUCGAUCGUGGACUUGACUAACUGUAAGCAAGAGGAAGGUGAAUCCACGACCCAUUGGGUGCGCCGCGUCAAGGAAAUAAUACAUUCAUCUGAUAAGAUGGAUGCCGGCUCCGCGGUCUUAAUGUUGGAGAAAAAUUGCCAUUUUGAACCUCUGAAACAGAAGCUAGGGCGGCUCAAGCGUGAUUGUACUGACAUGGGCCAGUUGAUGGCGGCUCUGGUCAAUUAUGCCGAUUCUGACAGUACCAAGGAUCCUGCGUCUGACGAAGAGAAGACAGGGAAGGGAAAAAAGAACGGCAACGGCAAAGGUCACCAGCACAACCCGACGAAUCAAGGAGGUAAUAAACGUAAGGCUGAUGGUAGUCUGGAGUUUGUGGCUAACGGCAAUACACAGGGAAACAAUCAGCGGCGCAAGGGGAGGCCACCUCCUCGGUCAGGCGGGUAAGGUCCCACCCUCGAGCAACAGCUAAAUUAACCUUGUCCAAGGCACGGCACCCGGGAGAAGCCAGCUACCCAUCUCUGGAAAGACUAUACGAUCAUGAAGGCUUUUAAAAAUUCCAACAUGUUUGAUGGUAACCACGGACCUGGCGGUGACUCAGGCGGUGGCGGCAUUCAUGGCCCGGGCGCCGGCUCAGGCGGUGGCGGUUUUCACGGCCAGGGCCCUCAAGGCAGUCAGGGCAGCUAUAAUCAGCAAUCCUGCCAAGGUAAUCAGCAGCAACAACAGUUCGGGUAUCAGAGUAACCCAAAGCAGUUGAACAGUGGGUAGUAUCACGUAUUCACCACCAGUUUGUGCAAAAGGGACCAGAAACUUCAUAAGAGGGUUGUGAAUGCUGUUGAACCGGCGGUUCCACGUUAUUUGAGAUGGUCUGAGCAGCCUAUCGUAUGGAGUAGGGAACACCACCCUCCCCAGGUUGAUAAUCCGGGUCAUCUGGCUUUGGUGGUCGCGCCUCAGGUUGGUGGAUAUAAAUUCACUGAAGUGCUCAUGGACGAAGGCAUUAGCAUCAACAUCCUCUAUUAUGAGACUUUCCGUCGCAUGGGUUGACUAACAAAAGUCUUAAGACGUCCAAUACUAUUUUUCAUGGAGUUGUGCCUGGUAAUUCGGCAUACCCAGUUGGUAAGAUUGAGCUGGAAGUAGCCUUUGGGGAUGAGUAUGAUUCUAGGGCUGAGAAGUUAACUUUUGAAGUGGUUAAGAUCAAAAGCACGUAUCACGCUCUGUUUGGACGGUCGGCUUAUGCUAAGUUCAUGGCACAGCCAUGUUAUGUUUAUCUGCAACUCAAAAUGCUGGGUUAUAAGGGCACCAUCAUAGUGCAUGGAAGGUAGAAGAUAGCCCUGGAAUGUGAAGAAGGUGAUGCUGCUUAUGCUGUGUCUAUUUGUGCAACAGAGGAAUUGAAGUUUUAUAAGGAUAAUGUUGACCCAGCAGACAUGACGUCUUUGAAGAAGCCAACUACAAAGCAUGAGCCGGCGCUGAAAUUUAAGUCAGCUGAUGAUACCAAGAUGAUUGAUUUUGUGCCCGGCGACUCAUCCAAACACUUCAUUAUCAGUGCUAACUUGGAUCCAAAAUAGGAAGGCGCGCUCAUCAAGUUCAUCUGUGAGAACCGGGACAUCUUUACAAGGAAGCCUUCUGAAAUGCCGGGUGUACCGAGAGAACUCGCUGAGCACACUCUUAAUAUUGAUCUAAAGUUAAAGCCGGUCAGGCAGUUUCUUCGGUGGUUUAAUAAGGAAAGGUGCAAGGCUAUUGGAGAAGAGGUGGCCCGGCUCUUGGCGGCCGGGUUUAUUGUUGAAGUCUUUCACCCAGAGUGGUUGGCUAACACGGUGCUUGUGCUCAAAAAGAACGACACCUGGCGUAUGUGUGUGCAUUACACAGAUUUAAACAAGGCUUGUCCGGCUGAUCCUUUUUGUCUCCAUCAUAUUGAUCAAAUCAUUGGUGCUACGACGGGUUGUGAGCGUUUGAGUUUUUUGGAUGCUUAUUCUGGCUAUCAUCAGAUCAAAAUGGCAGUUAAGGACCAGGAGAAGACAACUUUCAUCACUCCGUUUCGAGCCUUCUGCUAUGUGUCUAUGCCUUUUGGGCUUAAAAGUGCCCAGGCGACUUAUCAGCGAUGUGUACAGAACUGUCUUCAUAACCAGAUUGGGCGUAAUGUUCAUGCUUAUGUGGAUGAUAUAGUGGUUAAAUCCAGAGAGAAGGAAACUCCGGUUGAUGAUCCGAAAGAGACCUUUGAUAACCUCCGGGUCUACAAGAUGAUUCUUAACCCAGCCAAAUGCAUUUUUGGAGUCCCAGCUAGCAUGCUUUUGGGCUUUUUGGUGUCUAACAGAUGCAUUGAGGCUAACCCAGAAAAAAUUAAGGCGAUUACAUCUUUGGCUAAACUGGCGUGCAUCAAUGACGUUCAGCGGCUGGCGAGUCGAGUUGCAUCUUUGAGCCGGUUCAUAAGCCGACUAGGUGAGAUGGCUAUGCUGUUGUAUCAAAUGAUGAAAAAUACGGAUGACUUUGUCUGGAGUGACGCUGCUAAAUCUGCCUUUGAAGAUCUGAAAAGACAGCUUGCUGAGCCGCCAGUUCUUGCUGCCCCCGUUGAGAAGGAGCCGCUGUUGUUAUAUGUGGCUGCUAACUCACGGGUCGUCAGUGUGGCCAUUAUGGUGGAGCGCAAGGAGGCUGGCAAGGAACAUCUGGUUCAACGACCGGUUUACUAUGUUAGUGAGGUGCUCAUUGAAUCCAAGCAAAGAUAUCCACAUUUGCAGAAGCUUGUUUAUGGGGUGUCCAUGGCAAGCCGAAAGCUCAAGCAUUACUUUCAGGGUCAUCCUAUCACUGUGGUUAGCUCUGCUCCUUCGGGAGAUAUUAUUCAAAAUAGAGAAGCCACAGGACGAGUCGCCAAGUGGGCCAUUGAGCUUGGGUCUCAUAAUUUAAAGUAUGUGCCACAUACUGCCAUUAAGUCUCAAGCACUGGUGGACUUCAUUAAUGAUUGGACGGAGUUGCAGAUACCUGAAGAGAAGCCAGACAACACAUAUUGGACGAUUCAUUUCGAUGGGUCCAGAUAGUUGGAAGGCUCGGGGGCUGGAGUUGUUUUAACUUCUCCUCAAGGUGACAAGUUUUGUUAUGUGUUGCGAUUGAUGUUUCCUUGUACUAACAACGGAGCAGAGUAUGAGGCCUUACUCCAUGUUCUUCGAAUGGCUAAAGAGAUGAGCUUAAGCCGGGUACGGUGCCUUGGCGACUCAGAUUUGGUGGCUCAGCAGGUAUCAAGCAAGUGGGACUCCAAGGACCUUCUCAUGGCGGGUUAUCGCCGUGAGGUUGACGCUGUUGCUGGACACUUCAAGGGUUAUCAAGUGGAGCACAUUGACCGAAGAAGAAAUUAAGCGGUCGAUGCUUUAAGCCGGUUGGGAUCUCAGUGUAAGCCAGUGCCACCUAACACUUUUCUAGAUGUUCUGCAUAACCCUUCUGUCAAGUUGCCUACAGAGGAAGAUUUUGCAGUUCCAGACCCGGAGGCAUAGUUGGUGACGGCUCUUCAUGUCAUUCCAGAUUGGACAGUACCGUAUUUGGCUUAUAUGACCCAAGGCGAGUUGCCAGAGGAUGAGACCUUGGCUAGACAGAUAACCUGACGAUCUAACUCAAUGACGAUUUCCAAUGGUGAGUUGUAUCAUGGCAGCGUCACCGGGGCGUUUCAACGUUGUGUCUCUCCUGAAGAAGGCAAGAAAUUCUUCGUGGGAUCCAUGAAGGAGAUUGUGGCCAUCAUGCCAGUUCAAAGUCUCUUGUGGCCAAAGCUUUUCCUCAUGGUUUUUACUGGCUAACGGCUCACACUGAGGCAGAGGAUCUGGUCUGUAGGUGCGAUGGGUGUCAAAAAUUUGCACGACGAGCGUACGUGCCGGCUCAAGAACUGCGGAUGAUUCCAAUCACUUGGCCAUUUGCAGUCUGGGGGCUUGACAUGGUUGGACCUUUCAAAAGGUCUAAAGAUAAGAAGACGCACCUUUUAGUAGCAGUGGACAAGUUCACAAAAUGGGUUGAGGCAGAGCCGGUCAGUAAGUGUGAUGCGGCCACGGUGGUUCAAUUCAUAAAAAAGGUGAUAUUUCGUUUUGGCUUUCCACAUAGCAUUAUCACUGACAAUGGCACCAACCUGUCCCAAGGAGAUAUGGAAGAGUUUUGUCAACGGGAGCAUAUCCGGCUUGAUGUUUCAUAAGUAGCUCACCCCCAAUCCAAUGGUCAAGCUGAACGAGCCAAUCAGGAAAUCCUAAAAGGUUUAAAACCCCGGCUUAUGGUUCCUUUACAACGGACGUCAGGUUGUUGGGUGGAAGAAUUACCUUCUGUGAUAUGGAGCAUCAAUACUAAACGUAAGAGGUCUAUCGGUUAUACGCCUUUCUUCAUGGUUUACGAAGCAGAUGCAGUUUUGCCCUAUGACAUCCGUCAUGACACGCCCUGUGUAGCAGCUUACGUUGAAGCUGAUAACGAGCAAGCUCGACAUGAUGCGCUUGACUUGUAAGAUGAGGAGCGAGACUUGGCAGCAGCCUGAUCAGCAAUUUACCAGCAGGACCUACGUCAUGACCACAACCGCCGGAUUAAGUCCAGAACCUUUCAAGAAGGUGACCUUGUGCUCCGGCUCAUCCAGGAUCAAUCUGAUGCACACAAGCUAUCCCCACCUUGGGAAGGACCCUUUGUGGUCAGCAAGAUCUUAAACAAUGGAUCAUAUUACAUUAUCGAUGUUCGAGAUCACCAAGACUCAUGUAAGUCGGAGGAGGAGACCCGCCGGCCGUGGAAUAUUGCUCAUCUUGGCCUUGCUACACAUGAGCCACCGGCUCUCAUAAUUUACAUACUUUGACAUUUUUUAUAUUAUGAUAAGUAAUAAAGCAGGACCUCUAUCCUUUUUUGAUCAUAUAUCUUUGUUAUUCUAACUAGUACAAAUGCCUGUGCAUUGCACCGGGCAAGAAAGCAUAUAGAGUUCUCUUUGUUAAUAAAUCAGGCCAUAUUCGCAUGCAUUGAAACAUUUUAUAAUCCAGACUAUGCCAGUUCAAAAUUGACACCAUGGGUGCCCAAAACUGUAGAGUAGAAAACCAGCAUGAUAUGCACGUCUACCAUCAUGUACAUCUGAAUAUAGCUCGUACUGUGAUGCUUUGCUAAUAGGAUGAAAAAAAUAGUGUAGCUCACUGUUACAUAUCACUAACCAUAAAUGACAUAGAGCAAGAAUCUUGUUCAUAUUAACAGUGAUCAUAAAAUUGAAUUUAUAUGUACUAAUUUGUGGUCACUAUAAGAGAUGACUACACACCAGAAGAAAACAAAAAAGUAUAUGUAACUAAACCAUAUCAGAUUGACUACUAUUUGUAUGGUUCGUCCAUCCAAUGUAUGCCUGAUGUGUAACAAAAAAAAUUUGAAUAUAGUAUAUGCUCCAGUUUUCACCACUGGAAGACCAUAUAGGGAUCACAUUCAUAUGGUUUGAGGUGCAAGAUUCUAGAUAUUGAAUGCAAGCAUCAUGCCAAAUAUCAACCAAAGAAUCAUGUGUUCCAAUGCAACAGUACUACUAUAGUUUAUCCUAUUGGUUCUAGUAGUUUAUCGUAUAUAGUUCUCACAAAACUAACUGGAUAACUAUGCACAUCAUUUUCGAUACUGUUGGCAUGCAGGCAAAAAGAAUCAAAUAUUCAGUUCUAGGUGCAAAAAGAAUCAAAUAUUCAGUUCUAGGUGCAGAUAAGUGUGAUGUAUUUUAGCCACCAUGACAAAGCAAAGAGUUAUUUGUUAAAAUUGACUUACAUAUCAAUAUGUUGAGUGAGUGCUGCACCAAAGAGCACAUACAAUUAGUACAAUACUGGAAGCUUUGGCUAAAAAGAAGGUUAACCUCUACUAUCGGUCAGCUCUGCUGCACCAGAGAAUUACAAACAUGGACAUGAUGAAAUAAGGAACCAUAUAGGCGUAUUACAAGCAUGAGUGUGAAGCAAACAUAUCUUAGUUGUGGGCUCUAACCACUGAAAGGAACAUGAUAAGAGUAUUUGAAAGGGAUUAAAUACUUGAAGCAUCUAUUUUUUGAACCUUGACAUUUUAAUUCUCAG
rnacentral:lncRNA from 1 species